rnacentral:rRNA from 1 species
ACUCCUACGGGAGGCAGCAGUGGGGAAUAUUGGACAAUGGGGGAAACCCUGAUCCAGCCAUGCCGCGUGUGUAGAAGGAGCCUUCGGGUUGUAAAGCACUUUCAGUGGGGAGGAAAGGUUGUUGGUUAAUACCUAACAGCUGUGACGUUACCCACAGAAGAAGCACCGGCUAACUCCGUGCCAGCAGCCGCGGUAAUACGGAGGAUCCAAGCGUUAUCCGGAAUCAUUGGGUUUAAAGGGUCCGUAGGCGGUUUUAUAAGUCAGUGGUGAAAUCCGGCAGCUCAACUGUCGAACUGCCAUUGAUACUGUAGAACUUGAAUUAUUGUGAAGUAACUAGAAUAUGUAGUGUAGCGGUGAAAUGCUUAGAGAUUACAUGGAAUACCAAUUGCGAAGGCAGGUUACUAACAAUAUAUUGACGCUGAUGGACGAAAGCGUGGGUAGCGAACAGGAUUAGAUACCCUGGUAGGAUAGCGU